UGCCAGCCGCCGCGGUAACACGGGGGGCGCAAGCGUUAUUCGGAAUUAUUGGGCGUAAAGGGCGCGUAGGCGGUCUUGUCGGUCAGGUGUGAAAGCCCGGGGCUCAACCCCGGAACUGCACGCCGAACUGCAGGGCUAGAGGACGAGAGGGGAGUAUGGAACUCUAGGUGGAGCGGUGAAAUGCGUAGAUAUCUAGAGGAACGCCGGUGGCGAAAGCGAUACUCUGGCUCGUCCCUGACGCUGAGGCGCGAAAGCGUGGGUAGCAAACAGGAUUAGAUA
rnacentral:rRNA from 1 species